rnacentral:rRNA from 1 species
AACCCUGCCCAAGAGGAUCGGGGAUAACACCUGGGAAACAGAUGCUAAUACCGGAUAACAACAGAUGAUGCCUAUCAACUGUUUAAAAGAUGUUCUGCUAUCACUCUUGGAUGGACCUGCGGUGCAUUAGCUAGUUGGUAGGGGUAACGGGCCUACCAAGGCGAUGAUGCAUAGCCCGAGUUGAGAGACUGAUCGGGCCACAUUGGGACUGAGACACGGGCCCAAACUCCUACGGGAGGCAGCAGUAGGGGAAUCUUCCACAAUGGACGCAAAGUCUGAUGGAGCAAAACGCCGCGUGAGUGAAGAAGGGUUUCGGCUCGUAAAAGCUCUGUUGUUGGUGAAGAAGGACAGGGGUAGUAACUGACCCUUUGUUUGACGGUAAUCAAUUUAGAAAGUCACGGGCUAACUACGUGCCCAGCAGCCGCGGUAAAU